GCAGCUGAAAACAACAAUCAACAGAAAGAAAAUGAGAAUCAGUUGAUUGUCCAUGGACAUCACGUUCCGUUGGGAACGAGAAAAAACAUUCGUACGGACUCAUGAUGAUGCAAGAUUAUUGCUGAUCAAACACGCGCAGCCCAAAGGGGGAGAGAGAGACACUAGGACAACAACUCACGACCUGAGCGCCCAAAGUGAGCUGGAAUCGACAAUACGUCCCUCAAGUCGUGCG